rfam:Schistosoma rodhaini strain Burundi genome assembly, scaffold: SROB_scaffold0003288
AUCCAGCUGACGAGUCCCAAAUAAGGCGAAACGCGCUUCCUGAAU